GGUGCUGACGUUGGCUCUGCGAGGUCGGCUCAAGGUGGGUCUGGAUAUUGAGCAGGCCUGUCAGGGCGUUGUCACCCACACC
ensembl:miRNA